CCUCCACUCGUUAACCACCUGUGACGACCAACAGGAAAUCUCAAACAUUUAUCAAGCAGAUUUUCCCUGGAAAACAGAUAUUUCUAUCACUUUUAAGAAGGCGAGAAUGGAGGAAUUUUCUGGGGAAGAGUGAAAGGUGUGAUGAGUUGAAGAGAUGCCAGUGCAAGUCUCUGACUCAUCAUUGUUUCUAGGGCUCUUUCAACUCUGAAGAGGCCAGUAACUCCGUGAAAGAGUGUAUUCAGAGUAUCAUUGGAGAAGAGAGCUACAGACAGGACACUGUGAACCAGUGGACAGCCAAGAUUGUGGAGCAAGCCCUCACCCUGCUGGUCAAACAGACUAAGUCAUAUAAGUACAUUGUUAGCUGUGCUGUCAUGCAGAAGAGUGGUGCUGGUCUCCACACAGCUAACUCCUGCUACUGGGACACUGUUACUGAUGGGAGCUGCACAGUGAAAUGGGAGAACCGCACCAUGUACUGUGUGGUCAGUGUGUUUGCUGUGGCCUUAACCCCCUAGACCAGGACCAACCCUGAUACUGCUUAUAGAAGGUGCAAUGCUUCACCCAUCCUGCAGGGGAGGUAUUCAGUAAUCAGUAGCUCACUGUACAUUCUAUGCUGAAUGGGACAAGCAGCGAUACGGCUAUAGAUGUGGUAAAGGGGUCAAUGGAACUCGACAAAAACAAUGGAAAUGCGUGUAGGAAAGAUCCCGACUCUCCUAAUUGCCCUCCAGAAAAAUGUGGUUAUUUGUAUAUUUGACAAGACAUGAUCAUGUCAUCAAGAGUCACAUUUUUUGUCACAUGCACAAGUACAGUGAAAUGCCUUUAUUGCAAACUCAAAACCCAACAAUGCAAUAAUCAAAAACAAUGUAAUACUAGAAGAAGAAAAACCGACUGACGACCACCACUGACUUCUGUAUGCUAGCUAUGCUACCAGCUUAUAGGAAUGGGAGUUAGCAUUUAGCGGUCACUUCUUCUAAACCUGAAAAGGGACAACUUCUAAAUGUUAUGCAGUGAAAACAGCCAAAUAUAUCCAAAUCGAACUUUAGUAACCACAUUGUGGGCCCGUUACAAUACAUCAAUCAUGACGGAUUUGACAAAUAUCUACUUUGUUAGAUCAGAUUUGUUGAAUGUGCGCCAAUCCUGCGUCCUUCUAUCCCCACGGUCUGCGUUCCAUUGACCUAUUUACUGCAUCUAUUGGACUGCUCUGGAUGGGCUGAAAUGCUGUCUACCCCAAAGACACUUUAUUCAUUGACUUUAAAUGCAUCAGUUGAAAUCUUCCUAUUAUGACAGCUUGGCUUCAAAGCUGCUACCUUACGAUACCAAUGUUCCAACUAUAAUGUUGGCUUUACUUAUAAUGAAUAAAUACUCAUUUUGGUGGGUGCUUGUAUUUGUCCUGUUGUCCCACUUUGUUGAUAUAGGGUGAGGAAAAGCAGUGUUUAUUAUGUACAUUAUUUUAUAUCACAGAUCAGAUGAACUUGCUUUAGGAAAUGCUAUGUAAACCGAUCACAGGAUAUUGUAUACAGACACGAUUUCAAGUUGCAAUCAUUGAUUAAACAAAUGAAGAAUAAAAUAACGAAGAAUAAAAUAACAAGUUCCAUAGAAAUAAUAUGCCUGCAAUUUUGUGGGGUGGAAGGUGCCAUCAAUAGACUGUAGGACCCAUAGCUGAAUGUCAUUAAAUGUUCAAAUUAAACCUUUUUAUGAUGUCCGUGUAUAACUUAUCAAGCAACACAAAUACAACACCAUGCAGAUCCAUAGGUAUUUAACAACUCUAGCCAAGCGUUAUCACAAUACUUUAUGCAGUCUAGUUGAUCAGCCACACGCUGCAAGACUUUUCCUCACUAGCACUUUAGGUUUAUUUGACUGUGACCUCAGUAAAAAGAGACGCUGAACUCCCACACGUACACACAUAGGACUGACUCAGUGUCUGUGUGCUCACUGGUCGCGGAAAUGUAUCACUCACUUGGCCAGCCUACAGAAACUAUCAGCUGCUAUUGAGUCCAGCAGGAGAAGUUGCAGCUGGGAUAACUAGAAUAUCACAUCCCAAACAGCUUUUUGUUGCUGCUCAUUUUCAUUUUAGACAAACAUUUGCUGUACCUACACACUGAAGACAGCUGCAAAGGCAAAAUGUCUGGUAGACUAUCCCUGGUGCAGUGAAAAGAAAAUAUUAUUUUAAAUGAAGUGAACUUUAUGCAUAUUAUUUUGCUUAUACAAAUGUGUAAAUACAACACCAGAAACAGGAGGAAGUGGAACUAGAGAGUUUUGACACUAGAGUUUCUGUGUUUGCAUGUUGUAUUGCAGAACAAGAAUAACGUUCUAGCCUCUGUGGUAAAUGCGGGUAGGUUUGGUCAUUUCUUCACAGAUUUGUGCAAGAAACCCAUUGUGAAAUGUCACUGAGGAGGGGUGUGGAAGGUCAUGAUCAUUAGAACAGUGAAGUUUACUUCCAUUUUUGUUGCUAUGAUCUGAUAAACUGUUGUGUGAGAUAAGGGCACUUAAGUUU